rnacentral:rRNA from 1 species
GUAGUCAUAUGCUUGUCUCAAAGAUUAAGCCAUGCAUGUCUAAGUAUAAGCAAUUACAAAGCGAAACUGCGAAUGGCUCAUUAUAUAAGUUAUCGUUUAUUUGAUAGUACCUUACUACAUGGAUAACCGUGGUAAUUCUAGAGCUAAUACAUGCUGAAAAUCCCGACUUCGGAAGGGAUGUAUUUAUUAGAUACAAAACCAAUGCCCUUCGGGGCUCUCUUGGUGAUUCAUGAUAACUUCUCGAAUCGCACGGCCCCGCGCCGGCGAUGGUUCAUUCAAAUUUCUUCCCUAUCAACUUUCGAUGCUACGGUAUUGUCCUAGCAUGGUUGCAACGGGUGACGGAGGGUUAGGGCUCGACCCCGGAGAAGGAGCCUGAGAAACGGCUACUACAUCCAAGGAAGGCAGCAGGCGCGCAAAUUACCCAAUCCCGACUCGGGGAGGUAGUGACGAUAAAUACCGAUACAGGGCUCUUUUGGGUCCUGUAAUUGGAAUGAGUACAAUUCAAAUCCCUUAACGAGGAACAAUUGGAGGGCAAGUCUGGUGCCAGCAGCCGCGGUAAUUCCAGCUCCAAUAGCGUAUA